GACGAACGCUGGCGGCGUGCUUAACACAUGCAAGUCGAGCGGUAAGGCCCUUUCGGGGGUACACGAGCGGCGAACGGGUGAGUAACACGUGGGUGACCUGCCCUCAGCUCUGGGAUAAGCCUGGGAAACCGGGUCUAAUACCGGAUAUGACUCCAUGACGCAUGUUGUGGGGUGGAAAGCCUUGUGCGGCUGGGGAUGGGCCCGCGGCCUAUCAGCUUGUUGGUGGGGUGAUGGCCUACCAAGGCGA
rnacentral:rRNA from 1 species